UACGUAGGUCCCGAGCGUUGUCCGGAUUUAUUGGGCGUAAAGCGAGCGUAGACGGCGCUGCAAGUCCGGAGUGAAAGCCCAUGGCUUAACCAUGGUACUGCUCUGGAAACUGUGGAGCUUGAGUGCGGGAGGGGCAGGCGGAAUUCCUAGUGUAGCGGUGAAAUGCGUAGAUAUUAGGAGGAACACCAGUGGCGAAGGCGGCUUACUGGACUGUAACUGACGUUGAGGCUCGAAAGCGUGGGGAGCAAACAGG
rnacentral:rRNA from 1 species